UGCUGAUUCCCCAACUGAGUCCGUUGUACAC
rnacentral:piRNA from 1 species